AAAAAAAAUAAAAUACUAACUCAUAUUUCACACCUUUAAUUUUUCCGUGUCAUUCGCUUUCUUUCAAAUAAAUAUCAGAAAUUGAAAAAAAUUUAGUUCCACCACCAUACAAAUAAAUACCAGAAGAAAAUUAAUUUUUAUUUGAAUUUCAGUUUCAUUCAAAAGUUUACUUCAAUCUCAAUUUCAUUUUCGGUGAAACAAAUAGACCACAGGUGUAAGAAGGUAAAAUGUACAGAACAUAUCUCAAUUAUAGACCAUUUUAAAUUGACUAUCAAAUCUUUUAAAAUUUUAAUUUUAUUGUCCAAUCUGUUAAUUUGUUUGAUUGACUCUGUCAGCAAUACUUUAAUUUCAAAUUUUGAAUACGCCGUUAUCUUUACCAGUUCAAUUAGUAUACUUCAUACAAUUCUCGCUACUAUAAUUUUAUUAAAGUGAACAGUUAACUUAAAUUUUGAGAUUAAAGGUCGCCAACUGACUUAUAUCAAACAAAUUGAAAGAUUAAAUAGUAAAUUCAAAAUUUUGAAUUUCAAGAUAAUACAUUAGGUCAGGUAAGUUAUACACUUGUUUAGCGUGCAAGAAUCACUCUCCACUCACUAAUAAAGGUUACUAUUUUCGUAGUAGUAUUAUUAACUUUUUUUCUUUUAAUACUAAAAAGAAUUUUGUGAACCCUAACACCCCGUUUGGAUUGAAUAUAAGAUGGGUUUGGAUUGAAUAUAAGAUGGGGUAUAAAGGCCUUAUACCCCAUCUUGUACCCAAACGCAAUUUGGUUAAGGUGAGAACUAUACGGAUUAUUCUAGAAAUAACCCGUUAAGGAUGGAAACUAUAGUUCUCAUCCCGAGUGGGAACAAGCUUAGGAACAAGCUUGUUCCCACCCACUUGGGUAGAGAGAGAGAGAGAGAGAGAGAGAGAGAGAGAGCCACGUGUCAGUUUCGGAGUUUUAGGAAUCGGGUCGGGUUCAGAUUUAAACUGAACAGGCCCCAAGAGCACUGAGCACCCUGUUUUGCACGUAGUUUAACAAAUUACGUCGUGGGCCUCGUGGCUUGGGGCUAUGGCUCAGUUUAGAUUUAGAUGCAUGAAAAUCGUUUUUUAGACUCUCCUUUUGUAAUUUAUGACCCUGUAUAACUGUAUAAAUAUCAAUAUUAUCAAUGUGAAUAUAUAUUGGCUUAUUUAUUAUAUAUUAAUAUUAAUUAUAUAAAAAUUGACAUUUAUAAUAAUUGAUAUGUCAGAUAUGACAUAAAUAUGGAUAUAGGUUGUUUUACCCACUUUAGUCAACUUGUUUAAUGUAACUAGUUAUGGUGCGCACAUAAGUAAAAAGUGAUUAGACCCGCCGGGUGCCUACUGCACCACCUGGCUUAGGUGGUUUAUGAAGGUGAUUCAGAGCGCACAGGAGAGAGUGCACGGUUUUCGUUGCUGGCGCCUGGGGUAACCGAACGGGCUAAGGCAGGGUUUAGGAGAGAGUGGGUGCGAGUUGUGGGUUAGGGGGGUGGAGGUAAUUACCGCCGGAGAGGGAAGAGGAAGAGAGGCAGGGCGAGGAAAGGAGGAGAGGCGAGGAAGCAGGGGCGGUACCGAGCGAGGAAGAGGAGGAGCAGCGGGUUUGUGUUACCUCUGCUAGGGGUCCUUGGGAGAGAGAGCUGGGAGCUCUAGCACCCGCGCGCGGCGCGGGAGGAGAGGUCGAAGCGCUCGAACUUCUUCGGGAUGUUUGGGAAGGGGGAGUAUCGCACCUUAGCGGUACACCUCUGCUAGAAGCGGCGCAAGAAGGCGAGGCAGGGGCUGCAGCGGGAGGCGGCGCUCACGGAGUCCUGCUCGCUGCUGCCGCGGCAGCGGGAGCUAACCCAGAGGCCGCUGCUAGCGGCCGAGGGGAAGCUAAGGGGGCACGAGUAAGAGGACCAGUCCAGGGCAAAGACUAGGAAGAAAAUUUAAGAGUAGAGUCAAAACUAAACUACGUUGCCGAUCUAGGAAGAUCAUGACACACUACUCACAAUGCUUACAAAGGCAUCAUAUAAAGAGAAUCAAGAUACUCCAGGUGCCAAGUAAUACGUACACUUGUCUCACAAUUCCGAUAAAGAAUUGACAAAAGCCAAUCUAGCUACAAAACCCACUGGUACUUAGUCUCAGUAACUCAUAACGGACAGUAAAGGUAAGAUAAGCAGGAAGGACAUAACGCGAAAAAGUGACUUUAAAACGACGAAUACAGUUAAAGCAAGAAGACGGUAAGAUGCAUCAGAUACGUGUCAGCGUAUUGCGAACAACACGACUAGCACCGUUGACAACAACAAUAAACGUCGGACCAGAUUGUCCUCCCUCACUACUAUGUAUACACUCCGUAUACGAACAUGCUCGAUCUUUAUUUCCUACCGCGCAGCACCAUAAGUUGUCGGCGCCAACACGGCUAUCAGGACACUGUUGGGGUGUCCAUAACCGUUAUACUGAAACUUUUUACAUUGUGGAAACGAAAACGUGAAUUAAAAAUUUUUCUUAUCUGUUUCGUGAUCACAAGAACACAAAGAAGAUGCGGAAAUUGAAGAUACGAGAGAUUAUGGAACACACGUACCGUUUUGCAAGGUACAGUCUGAAUUUUACAAAGCUUUAAGACUAAAACAAACGGUGCCACUUCCAAGGACAUUCGUGCUAGUAGUUGUACUCGUGAAACCUCGGAUAAGAAAUAAAUAAGUAAAAUAUGAAACGUACAUUCUAGUCGUAAGUUCAAUAACUGUGAAACUUUCAUUCGAGUGAAACCUUGGACAAGAAAUAAAUAAGUAAAAUAUGAAACGUACAUUCUAGUCGUAAGUUCAAUAAUUGUGGAACUUUCAUUGAGUGACCAUUUUUACAACAUUCGAAACCAGAGUAGAUAACCAACCUUCGUGCUUUGUAUAUAAGCUAACAAAUCCGACUUAUCUGACAGAAAUGCCCAUGUCAGUCAGUGGAUUUCCGUUCCCCAAUUUUAAACACUAGCCUUAAAGAGACCAAUAUACGUCAAGAUAAGUCGAAGAAAGUGCUUUCUAGAAAGUGUUCAACAACUAGUACAUCGUUUCGCAAUAGGUUUUAGUUUAUAUAUACGACAACCGACCAGGGAACCUCGUUUAUAAGAACAAGCGAUGGAACCAGUCCACUCAAAAUUAGAAAAUACAAAAGUCACCACUUAUACCACACACUUUAUAUACAACGAAACAGAACAAUAUACGAAAAGUUCGAACAAAGACGUCAACAGAAUUAACAAGAAUAGAAUAGAUGAAAUACUUCUUUCUCGUAAGAAUAGUGCAAAUCAUGUGAUUUAAUUUUUCACUGAUUAAUUGACGACUAGUCUUUUAUUUAACGAUCCUUCAUUAUUAUACCCCUCUACAUACUAACUACCUAUAUUUGAUCUGGUGAUUCGUUCUGGUAGUAGUCGUGGUACUCUUUAAUUGUGCAUUUACCUACCCCGCUCGAACUCUAACUCUAACUGAAGUACUCGAAAUCCGGAAGACGACUUCGAACCCCGUAAAUUUCAUUUUCCUACGUGCCAACAGUAUUGGUGCGAUCAACACAAAGACGUUAUAGGACGAUUAUAAUAUAAGGGAAUUAGAAUAGAAGGAAGAAAGAACGAUGUUCCUGAGUAAAAAUACGAUAAUAAAAGAACAUCUACAAAGUGGAUUAAAGAGACAAACGUCCUUAGAGUAUCGACAGGAGAAAGACCUCGUCACAGGAAUACAUUGGGGAAGUUAAACCAUUAACGUCUACUUCUGAAGGUAUUUCCGAAGUUAUUAUAUAUACUAUCUCGAGAACGAUCUCGAGACGCUUUAUAUAAAUUUUUCAUUUGGUAUAAAACGGAGAAAAAGAAACUAGAACCUUACUACCAAUCUCUUCGGGCCGUCAAUUAUAUAUCAAUUUAAGGUAAAGACACUUAGAAGUCUGUACGUGAAGACAAACUUCCAGAACUUCCACUUAUGUUAUAUGGCUACCGUCGCUCACGGUUUAGACAGUCUCUAAAACUGCUUCCCAAUUGUGCACCACUUAUAUUUUAGUGAUGACAAAACAAGAAAGUAAAAUUAAACAGGUCAAUAAAGGUGAUUACUUUUGAACGCAUAGACGUCAAAGUAAACCAAAAUCCAGCCACCUACUCAUAAUGAGUUUGAGUUCGUCAAGUUCAAGGUAGCUCGUACAAUCUUGUGGAAAUAACACGUAUGUCCAAUAAAACUUUUGAGGUUUGUGACGAAGUGAUGGAAUGUAAACCUCUUCAUAAUUUUAUAACUAUCUCUGAUAAUGUUCAAAUUUUGUAAUGAUGAGCGUAAACCUCUUCAAGGAAUUAAAACCGUACUAACGAUAUAAAAGACAAGAAUGUGAUAAGUCCGACGAUGACUAGGUUAACGUGGUAGUUCCCCUUAAGGAGCACUUCUUUAGUUCCAUAAAAGAAAACCAUAUCUCUGAUAAAAAGGACGAGUGAAUAAUUGAGUACAUGUGUAUUUGACCUAAGAUACGAUUCCGGAAAUCGAACAAAUACAGUGUGUGUAGGCAAGUAUUAACGAAUGAAUAUAUGUUGAAAAUGACAGGGAAAGACGAAUAAAACAGUAUAGUAAGGAAAUGAUACUUAAAUACAGACGAUGUUUAAUAAAUGUCACAAGUAUAUAGAUUGAAUCGCACUUUAAUUGUUUGAUUAGAAGAGGGGAAGAUAAGAUCCUCUUAGGUUUGACAGAGGAAUAUCAAUGAGGUGUUCCACCCGUAGAACCCACCCAUCGUCCACUACUUCGAGGUAAACCGCGAGGAACCUGACUGGGACACCAUUACCUUAAAGACCUCAUAGACGUGUUUCUUUCUCGGUGUUCGUGGGUUUUGUCGAUGACCCUACUCGAUUUACCACGAUCUUUUAGUAGCUCAAGACAGUGACAAGUAUAUGCUUCAAUUCUAAAGGUACUUUGAUAACGUUCAGAACGGUAACGUAGCUGAAAACAACACACUAUUGUGUGACAAAAGAGCGGUUCUCCUAAAUGGAGGUCUCCAUUUCAUGAAAUACCGGGAAAAGUAAAACUAAUGGGACGAGGAUUAACGCCUUAAACUUCGUUUGUUAUACUUCAACUUAUGCUUUGAGUAAGAAGGAGAAAACGGGGGAAGACCCUACAGAGUCCAAGAACUGUUCCCACAGGUUUCUUCUCCAGCCUUUUAUCUUAAAGAACACAACAAGUUCACGGAGACCGAUACGAUUUCAUUUUCUAGCAGUCCAAUCUUUAUAGGUAAAAAAGACAGGUAUGAAAGAGUUAAAGGAAAAGAAAAUAGAAACAGUCGGGAGUAAACAAUCGGUUAGACAAUGAGAGACUAAAGGACCCCGAAAUCUUUUAUACGAUACUUCAACAUAAUAAACUUUACUAUAAGGUGUUGGUAGUAAUUAAUGAGCCUAAGUUAUGUUUUAACAGUAGUCGUUCUAAAAGUAGAAUAACUAGAGCUCGAUGACUACAAUCGAUAUUAAAGUAGAGUUCAUAAUUAAACGGAGUACAAACGAUGAGGGAUGAAAACCACCGAUGUUGUACAAGGUUUCGUCGAAUUUCAUACACGUCAAUUUGAAAAGUCGUACAUAUUCAACCUAGAUAAGCAUAAGGCAAUUCACACAAAAGCCUACAACUACCAAGCAUAUACUGUGAUGUUUUCCAAAGUUAGCAUGGAACGCGUCUGUAAGUUAAACUAAGUUCAACCUAGAUAAGCAUAAACCGUCUAUAGUCGAAGAGAAACUGAAACAAGUUUAAGACCUUUUAGAACAGUUGAAGUCUUUUACUUCGAGGAGUCACGAAAAAUUGUAAAAGUUUAAUUCUAUGAGUGUAGAUGGCUACCCGUUAACUAAGUCCCCAAGACCAGCAAGUGAGAAAAAAUAUAAUCCAAACCCGCUCGAUGAUGAAGCCAAGAACGAGUACGAAUUCGGACCAUACCUUUACAUAAAAGAGUAUACGUGAAUACAAUAACGAUACCAGAUACCUACUAGAACUUUUUUAUGGAAUACGAGAAGAAUACGCUUCGUAGGUUAAAACACGGUAAAAAAGCUGAAACGGGGUCUUCAAAGAUGGGAAACGUAACACGAACAUCUUCAACCGUAGGGUCUUCCCACCCUCCCACGUUAAAGUCACUGAUCAUCACGUUUUCAUACCUAACUUUAUUUUGAACAUCACGUUAAAUGAUCAAACUUUCAGCCUAUUGAAUAAGCAAUAUUUUUAAGAAAAUCAUACUAACGUUCUUUUCAAAAAUUAAAAAACGAGGAAUUUUUAAUAACUAAAAAAAAAAAAAUAGAUGCUCUAUUAAUAAAAUAAACUCUUUUUGUUGAAUUUUCCGAUUUAUACCAUAAAGUAAAAUGCUAUAAACUAAUGUAGGUAAACAGUUUACAAUUUCAAAGAAAUUAUUGAGACCCUCUAUAUGGAUAGUUNNNNNNNNNNNNNNNNNNNNNNNNNAAAAACCGUAGUGAUUGACUUGCUAGUUUCCCAGUGUUUUAGAUAUUAAAAUUACCGGCUAUACCACGCAAACGAGCAAAUUGCCAUAUCUUCUUAAGUUUAGUUGAUUUAAAAAUAAUUUUUAAAAAAAUUUGAUAAAUUUUAUUCUAGAUCUGAGAUCUAGAGUUUAUAUUUUUAACAUAGUAGUGAAAAACUUCCUAUAAGUAAAGGUCGGUAAGUAAAAAGACAAGUGAACUACCUGUUCUCUUGUUAUAGCUUUUACACACUUUAAACUAAAGGUCUAUCAAAUUUAUCAAAUCUAGUACAAAUUGCCACGGCUAGUAGUUAAACCUUCGAGAUAGUAGCUUUUGUUUAGCCAUCAUUUAGCUCGGCAAAUGAUGGCUAUCAUAAGAUUGUUUUGAGAUAUAUAUAUAUCACAUCUUGAUGAUACAAUAGCUUUUAUAUCUCCUAAACUAUAAAAGCUUAAAAACUGGGAAACUAAUUCUUAACGUACCAACCCUACUAACGCUAGGGGGGAUCCUAAUUUAUUAUAGGGAUCUUAACUCAUCAGGGAUGUUCUAUUAUUAUCAUAAUUAAGUUUCUUUACUAAUCAACUAGAUUUUUAAUUUUUAGCUUUUUAAUUUUUUAGCUUUCGUAGUAUAGGAGAUAUGAAAGCUAUCGUAUCACACACACACACACAUAUAUAUAUAAGCUCGCAAAGCUCGGAUUAAGCUUGCUCGGCUCAUUAUGAGUUCGAGCCGAACUUUACUUAAAGCUCGGAAAAAAAAACAAGUUCGAGCCGAGUAAAUUAAAGCUCAGCUCGAGCUCGCUCGGUUUAUAGCUCAGCUUGCGCUCAGCUUGUGCUCGGCCGAGCGAGUAAACGGUCGGGAUCUACUGUCAGAGGCAUGGAUUCAUUCUCUUUAAUUUUUUUUUUUCCUUUUUCUUUUUUCUUUUUCCCGAACUUUACCAAGAGAUUUGGAUUUGUACUUGAUAGUGUAUUAGUUCGAGUGUCUACAUUAAUUUGUGUCCUUUUUCUUUUUCCUUCUUUUCACAUUCGUUUUAGUUAGUGGUAUUAAAACGAGGGUUUGUUCGAACACUAGAACUUGGUGAGACUUUGUUGGUGAUAUAAAAAUUUAAGUAAUUCGUGCUAAAGGUCUUGUAUAUAUUCGCGUAUUUUAUAGAUUAUUUUUUCUUCUUUUUUAAGAUUCAUGUAUGUUGAUCGGGUGUGAAGAUCCCUGAAAUCGAUAAAAAUUGAGAAAACUCGCAUAGUUUGCCAUAUGGUGUAUUUAUCCGGUCAUCCGGUGAUGUGAUGUUAGAUACCUAAGACUAUAAUAAAUAAUGCUUUAAAACCGACUCGAGUUCGGGUGUAUCUGGGUUGUUACACUGUAUAGUAAUCUUAGGUUAGUUGGACUUUUGAUUUGGGAUAAGGCGUAGUUAAAUCGUCAUAUUUAUUUAGAAAUUGGAAAAAGUGAUGAAAUGAACAACAUCCUAAUAAAUACAAACUCGAGAAUCGGUUUUUCUUUAUUUUUUUUAUCGGUUUCUUUCUCUCUUUUCCCGAGCUCCCGGGUUUUUCGGUCUUGAUCAGGUUUUGUGUGGUUAAUAUUCGUGGAGGGAUUAAAAACUCUUUCUUUAUUUUUACCCGGUAACUCUAGGUCCGAUGAAACUGGUACAUUUUACGGGGUCGUAUUACAUGUUUUUUUUUCUUCAAAGAAAACAAAACAAAAAAGAAAAUAACUCUCUCUCUCUCUCUCUCUCUCUCUCUCUCUCUCUCUCUCUCUCUUCCUCGUAUAAAAUUCUUAUUUAUGUAUAUAUUUACACUUCAUUGGAAAUCCGAAUCAAACCAAGCAUUUAAUCAUCCUUGAUCAAUAAAGUCCCUAUCCAUAUUCAUACCUAAAAACAUUCUUAGUCCCAUAAAAAAAAUAAACCUAAUUUUAUAAUCAUAUUCGACCUUGAUCUUUUUAACAUAAACCUAUCAAUAAACCUUAUUCUUUUUAUCAACUACUAAUAUUUAUCUUUUAUUAAUCAUGAAAUUUGAUUUUUAGAUAAUUUAAAUGGUCUAGAUCAUGUUCAACGGUGCCGAUCGUCGAUUUGGAAGCUCUAUAAUCAAAAACAAAUCGGUAGUAAACCGAGCAGUUUACUACCGAUAGUAGCCCAUCCAAACUCUAUACAUAUAUAUAUAUAUUAAAAAAUAUAAAAAUAUAAUAUAUUUUAAUUAUAUAUAGGCUCAGUGAAUAAUCUAAGUUAAAAUUGGGCCAAUAUUGUUGACCCAUAAAAACAAACCCAAUAGACAAAUAAAAGAGCAAAAUUUUACUAAAUUUAUACAUUUUUCCUUUCUUUCUUUCUUUCACAGAGCUAUAAUUUUUCAAUAUGUUUCUCUCUUUCUCUUUUUCUGUCUCUCACCCUACGUGGCCAAGCCGGAAGCCCUCCAAGUUACCAAGUAGCAGCAUAUGCCCGCCGUUGCCUAUCUUGCUAUUAAUUAUAUACUUGAGAAAAUAUACAGAAUAUUUUUAAAGUAAAAAAUUAUUAUUCAUAUAAAAUUUUAAUUUUAAUUAUAUAUAAUUGGAUAGUUUAAUCCAAUAUUUAUCUAUAUAAUUUAUUUAUUUUUGACUACAUAAAUGAAAAUAAAUAAUAUAGAGAUUGAAGGCAGAAGAAAAGAUAUGUGAGACUGAAAAUAUUAGAUAUUCAACUCAUAAUUUUUUUUUCAUAUUAUAAUACUAUAUUUUAUAUAAUUAUUUUAUACUUUCAACUAUUAGACAUAUUUUUGUAUCAAAUUAUAGAUAAUGUUCUAUACAAAUUAAACUAUUGAUCGUAUGAUGUUGAGAAUUUCAAGCGGCUCGUUUAGGGCUCGAGCUCGGCUCGAAUUAAUUUCAAUCCAAGCUUGAGCUUAAAUUUAGGCUCGAAAUUAAUUUCAAGCCGAAUUUGAGAUGAGGUAAGCUCGCUCGAGCUCGGCUCGUUUCCACCCUAGUGUCAUCUAUAUUCCCUAUUUUUAUCUAUAUAUUAAGUUUUAAGAAUACUUGCAUAUUUUUCUUAUCUAUUUUUAUCUAUAAUCCAUUUAGGGUGCCAUCAGGCAUCUGGAACUCGCUAAUGUGUUGGAAUGAAUACGAAAAAGAUGUUUGUCGGUCGGACGGCAUUUAAUUUGAGAAGAACUUGUGAUGUUUUUGUGGCUUGCUUUGAGGGCAACAAGAAUGGUCGGUCUGAUAUAUAUGAAACGAAAUGUACUUCUCUAUAGAGAAAUUGUUUGUUGGGAACUCGUGGAGUUUAACGAACAAUUCAAUACAAGACAUCAUGCUGAAUAUAGUAAGGCUCGCAAGGAGCACGCAUGGCUAAAACAUCUAUAUUGAUAUUUUACCGUUUCCCAAUCAAAACUCAGAAAGGCUGGUCUAAAUGUGCGGUACUUAGAAGCCGCACAUAAAUCCACAUGCCAAAUCAAUUUGUUCUUAUCUUUAUUAAAAAAAGAAAACGAGCUUUUCAUUGUUGACUUAAAUGGACCAGCAUUCUGUCCUGUGGCGGAAGGCUAUAUUGGGUCGAGUCAUGUUCGAAAUGGCGUGAGGCUGAAUGGGCCGAGUCAUGUUCGAAGUGAUGUGAGGGUGAUUGGGCCGAGUCACAAUCGAGAUCCGUGGAUGCUGUAUCUGUACGCUUUAAGUGAAUUGAUUGCGUAAUUCUAACAGCUCGAGCUUUUGGGAUUAAUGGUUAGCGCGAACGAUCCAACACUCAUCACUUUCCCCCUAUUUACCCUCUUUUUUAAAAAAAAAAAAAUUGUAAUCAAUGAUGGAUCAUUUAUUUAUGGGAAAACUUCAAAUACCCUCCAUUUGGUUUUACAGUUUCUCACUUUAGUACUCUGUGGUUUAAAGUGUAUCGCCAUGUGGUUUCGCACUUCUCACUUUAGUACCCUAUGGUUUAAAAUGUAUAAAGUUAGUACUCUGUGGUUUCAUUUUUGUAUCAAGUUAGUACCCUGUGGUUUUAUUUUUCUCUUUUUAUUAUCCAUUUCGGAGUUUUUUUUUUUGUUAAAUCAGUGACAAAGUUAAAACUAAAGGGUACUAAAAUGAAUAUUCGAUAAACCUAGGUAGAGUAUUUGAAGUUUUUUUGUAUAUAAUUUAACGAAAUAUUAAACCAUAAGGUACUAAAGUGAGAAAGUGCAAAACUAUAGAUUACUAACUUGAUACACUUUAAAUUAUAUAGUAUUAAAAUAAAAAAGUACGAAAAUACAGGGGUAUUUGAAGUUUUUUCUUUAUUUAUUUAUUUACAUCAUGUGUUCAAUGCUCAGCCGCCCACCAACCUCUUGUUUUCUCAACGAACGCGCGUGGUACGCGUGCUGGCAAGUCAAUUCUUGGAGUGCGACCAUUGAUUUCUUCAUCCUCCAACUCCCUCCAUUAUUUUUUUCGCCUCCUAUACUCCACUCUACUCACAUUUAUUAAAAGCAUAUGGUACUGCUUCGUGCUCAAAAUUUAUCAUUACAUUACAUGUUGUGACAUAUGGAUCAUAAAAUAUAUAUAUAUAUAUAUAUAAUUAUUAUUUUAUUUAGAUUAUAUAAAUAAACAUAACAAUGUAUUAUAUAACCGCUGCAUAAUUACUAUUAUAUUAUGUUUCGAGCUCUGCCUAUUGCCACAUCAGCAAUACGUUACCGUUCAGACAACUAAGGGGCCGUUUGGUUGUAUGUAGUUACAAAAAUAGUAUAGUUAGAAAUAUAUGCAGUUGUAAAUACUACAGUCAUAACUGCUGCAGUUACAUUUUUUCUGUUUGGUAGUCUACAGUUGAGAUUUACAUUUAUAAAUUCUGUCAAAUUUUAGAUAGAAAAGUAAGAUUAUCUCUUUUGAGUGUAACGUAAUCAUGUUUUAAUUAUUAAUUAAGAUUUUUAUAUCUAUAUAUAAUUUAUAUAUUAUAAAAUUAUGUAUGAAUUUAAUAAAUUUUAAAUGCAAAUAUAUUAUAGAUUUGGUCAAAAUAAAAAUUAAGAUAUUAUUAAACUAGCAGAUUGAAAAAAAUAAAGCAUAUGAAAAAAAAUUUAUUAACCCUAACAAAUAUUAUUAAACCCUACCAGAUUUCAUGAAUAGAUAUUUUUGGAAAAAAAAGAAGCGUAUGAAAAAAAAAAAUCACAUUUUGUUUAUUUUUUUAAUGGGUGAGCUCACUCCGACCCAACUGCUGCAGUUGAGUCUUAUCGUGCAGAUGCAACUGUAGCAGUUUGACCUAACUAUACCAAACCAAAUAAAAAUUUAAUAAAUGCGUGCAUUUCCAACUGCAGUGCAAUUAAAAAUGCACGUAUUAACCAAACAACCCCUAAAUUGAACUAUGCCAUUUACUUAUAAUAACUUAAAAAGCUUAGAUCAAACAAUUAUAAUAAAUUAAAAUUUGAUGAUCAAAGUGUCACGCAUCUCAUAACUUGAUCACCGAAAGUAUAAUUUAAUCAAUUUAUAAAAAAUCAACGUAGAAAAAUCCUAAUAUCUUUUUAUAUUUAUAUACAUACACAAUACCUCCGGUGAGCUAGAUUUUGAUUUUUAAAGUUUCUUCACAGCUUUUUAAAAUGUGUAUCCUACAAUACUAUUAAUAAUGUGGCAAUAUCAUUAUUACGUCCUAAUCAUUAAUUACUAAUAUCUAAAUACUAUUAUUAAAUCCUCAAUGUAAUUAUUAUAUCCUAAACUCUAAAUCCUAACCCCUUCAUAUGUGUAUGCCAACUAAUCAACAAUAUAAUAGAGUAUUUAAAAAUAUAAUAUAUGUCAACUCAUCAAUAAUAUAAUAAAGUAUAUAAAAUAUAGCAUACAAGAUGUAACAGUAGAUCAUCUAUUGUGGGUAGCAUUUUAUUCCUUUUGGAGAAUUAUUUUUUAUAAAUGAUCGGACCAAUUUUUAUAACUACAAAAAUAGUCUUUUAAAAAAUAAUUUAUAAAAAAGACAUCUAAUAAGUCAAAUUAAAUUUUUUAAAAAAUAAAUAAUAUAGACAGUAAAUGAGUCACUGCAUUUAAAUACGGUAAAUUAUUCACCACUUUCAUAACUCCUUCUAAAAUCAACAAAUUAUUUUUAAAUAUGGUGAAUCGUUCCGCUUUUAUUAUCUUACUCUNUACACAAGAAAAACACAAAUCCAAAACCCUAAAAACAGCAGGAGCAACUACAGAUAAGCAAAAUUGUGUACUCACAUCAUCAACACAAAAGCUAAAUAGAGUUCAAACCCAAAGAUUACAUGAGAGAAACUCAAAAUUCUAAACCCUAAUUUAUGAAUCAACCAUUAAUAAAAGGCAUGAAGCUUCCUAUCUUUUUCCCUUCCAUAUUCUAUUAGAAAGGUUUAGGAGAUGAUGGAGUUGGGCAGGGUAGUCUGACCUUGCGAUGGCGACGGUGGGCGUCGGAUGGGAAGGAAGACAGCACGAUUUGCAGUCGGAUGAUCGAGCCGCCUGCCUUCCUUGUUCAGCUCGACGCAGAAGGCAGUCUCACGUUUGGCUCAAGAAAAGGAGCGAUGCCUUCCUUGUUUCACUCCAAAACUGGAAGGACAUGUUAUUUGGGUUAAUUGCAUACAGGUCCAUAUAAACAUAAUAAAUUACAAAUACAUUUCUACAAAAUUUAUUUUUCACAUGUUGUUUCUGUAAAAAUCAUGAUAUUUUCAAAUAUAUUCUUACUCUUAGAAAAAUUUAGUUAACCAUAGACUAAAUACUUAAUGACCUUUUUACCUGUCUUAAAUUAAUAAUUGGAACUUUUUGAAGGGCAAAUUUGUGAUGACAAAAAGGUCAUUUCACUUAUAAAAUAGAUGGACUUUAACAAUAACAAAUCAGAGGGACAUAUUUGAAAAUAUUAAGACUUUUAUAACGACAAUAUUUAAAAAUUAAACUUUAUAGGGAUAUAUUUGUAAUUCACUAUAUUUAUAAGGAUCUGUAUAAAAUUAACCCUUAUUAUUUAUUUAACUGUAAUUUUAUUUUCGUCAAAAUUUAAACUCUAGUAAUUAACUUUAGCCCAACUCAGGCCAAAAUCAAUUAUGAAAACAAAAAGUUGAAAAAAAAGAAAAAUACUAACUCAUAUUUCACACCUUUAACGUUUCCGUGCCAUUCGCUUUCUUUCAAAUAAAUAUCAGAACUGAAAAAAAAAUUUAGUUCCACCACCAUACAAAUAAAUAUCAAAAGAAAAUUAUUUUUUAUUUGAAUUUCAGUUUCAUUCAAAAGCCUACUUCAAUCUAAAUUUCAUUUUCAGUGAAACAAAUAGACAACAGGUGUAAGAAGGUAAAAUGUACAGAACAUAUCUCAAUUAUAGACCAUUUUAAAUUGACUAUCAAAUCUUUUAAAAUUUUAAUUUUAUUAUCCGAUCUGUUAAUUUGUUUGAUUGACUCUGUUAGCAAUACUUUAAUUUCAAAUUUUGAAUACGCCGUUAUCUUUACCAGUUCAAUUAGUAUACUUCAUACAAUUCUCGCUACUGUAAUUUUAUUAAAGUGAAUAGUUAACUUAAAUUUUGAGAUUAAAGGUUGCCAACUGACUUAAAUCAAACAAAUUGAAAGAUUAAAUAGUAAAUUCAAAAUUUUGAAUUUCAAGAUAAUACAUUAGGUCAGGUAAGUUAUACACUUGUUUAGCGUGCAAGAAUUACUCUCCACUCACUAAUAAAGGUUACUAUCUUCGUAGUAGUAUUAUUAACUUUUUUUUUUCUUUUAAUAUUAAAAAGAAUUUUGUGAACCCUAACACCCGUUUGGAUUGAAUAUAAAAUGGGGUAUAAAAGCCUUAUACCCCAUCUUGUAUCGUUUACAAACGCAAUUUGGUUAAGGUGGAAACUAUACGGAUUAUUCUAGAAAUAACCCGUUAAGGGUGGGAACUAUGGUUCUCACCCGAGUGGGAACAAGCUUAGGAACAAGCUUGUUCCCACCCACUUGGGUACAGAGAGAGAGAGAGAGAGAGUGAGUGAGUGAGGUUUGUUUUAAAAUAGAAUUUAAAUUUUUUAGAAUUUAAAAUAUGUAAUUUUAAAAUUAAAAUUGUAAAUCAUAAAUUCUAAAUUUUAAAGUUUAAAAUUUAAAUUUGAUAUUACAAAUUUUUAAAUUUUAAAUGUGAUAUUUUAACUAUUUCAAAUUUAAAUUUGGCCUUAAAUUUAAAUUUUAAAAUUUAUAAAUUUAAAAUUUUAAAUUCAAUUAUAGGGAUAAUAUUAUUAUUUUCUAUUUAUAAUCAUCAACUAUUUCUCUUAUUCCAAAUAACUAUCCAAAUAUAAUUUUUCUAAUUCCAGCUUAUACUAAUAUUUUAAUCCAAACAAAAAAAAAACCCUAAUUCUUACAAAAAUUCAUACUUAUACCUAUCCCUGGAAUAACUAGUUCCUACUAAUUUACGAACCAAACGAAGCCUAAAGGUUACUUCACAUUUAUAUAUGUAUUUAUUCUUAAAAUAUGCUCCUUCUCUCUCUCUCUCUCUCUCUCUCUCAAUAAAAGAAAGGAAAAACUUCAAAAACCCCCCUUGUGGUUUCGUAGUUUCUCACUUUGCCCCCCUGUGGUUUAAAGUGUAUCAAUUUGCCCCCUGUGGUUUCGUUUUUAUCUUUUCGGUAACUUUUUCGUUAAUAUUUUAUUAAAUUAUAUAUAAAAAAAAACUUCAGAUACUCAUCUAGAUUUAUCAAAUAUUCACUUUAGUACCCUUUAAUUUUAAUCUUAUCACUGAUU
rnacentral:lncRNA from 1 species